GAGCACCCUGAGAAAUGAGGAAAAAGAAGCACCAGUUGAGGUUCACUGUCGGCACCUGAUUAUUACUGUUAUGAUCAAAUCAUAAACUGUCAUAAAUCCACCUGACAACUUCA
rnacentral:lncRNA from 1 species